UGGGGAAUAUUGCACAAUGGGCGCAAGCCUGAUGCAGCCAUGCCGCGUGUAUGAAGAAGGCCUUCGGGUUGUAAAGUACUUUCAGCGGGGAGGAAGGGAGUAAAGUUAAUACCUUUGCUCAUUGACGUUACCCGCAGAAGAAGCACCGGCUAACUCCGUGCCAGCAGCCGCGGUAAUACGGAGGGUGCAAGCGUUAAUCGGAAUUACUGGGCGUAAAGCGCACGCAGGCGGUUGAUUGAGUCAGAUGUGAAAUCCCCGGGCUUAACCCGGGAAUUGCAUCUGAUACUGGUCAGCUAGAGUCUUGUAGAGGGGGGUAGAAUUCCAUGUGUAGCGGUGAAAUGCGUAGAGAUGUGGAGGAAUACCGGUGUCGAUGGCGGCCCCCUGGGCAAAGACUGACGCUCAGGUGCGAAAGCGUGGGGAGCAAACAGG
rnacentral:rRNA from 1 species